GUCCACGCCGUAAACGAUGGGUGCUAGGUGUGGGGGGUGGUCGACUCCCUCCGUGCCGCAGCUAACGCAUUAAGCACCCCGCCCUGGGGAGGUACGGCCGCAAGGCUAAAACUCAAAGGAAUUGACGGGGACCCGCACAAGCAGCGGAGCAUGUGGUUUAAUUCGAUGCAACGCGAAGAACCUUACCAGGGCUUGACAUGCACUGGAAAGCCGUAGAAAUACGGUCCUCCUUCGGGACCAGUGCACAGGUGGUGCAUGGCUGUCGU
rnacentral:rRNA from 1 species